UACGUAGGGUGCGAGCGUUAAUCGGAAUCACUGGGCGUAAAGCGCACGUAGGCGGAUCUUUAAGUCAGGGGUGAAAUCCUGGAGCUCAACUCCAGAACUGCCUUUGAUACUGGGGAUCUCGAGUCCGGGAGAGGUGAGUGGAACUGCGAGUGUAGAGGUGAAAUUCGUAGAUAUUCGCAAGAACACCAGUGGCGAAGGCGGCUCACUGGCCCGGUACUGACGCUGAGGUGCGAAAGCGUGGGGAGCAAACAGG
rnacentral:rRNA from 1 species